rnacentral:rRNA from 1 species
UACGGGGGGGCAAGCGUUGUUCGGAAUUACUGGGCGUAAAGGGCUUGUAGGCGGCCAACUAAGUCAGACGUGAAAUCCCUCGGCUUAACCGGGGAACUGCGUCUGAUACUGGAUGGCUAGAGAUUGGGAGAGGGAUGCGGAAUUCCAGGUGUAGCGGUGAAAUGCGUAGAUAUCUGGAGGAACACCGGUGGCGAAGGCGGCAUCCUGGACCAACACUGACGCUGAGGAGCGAAAGCCAGGGAGCAAACAGG